UACGGGGGGGGCAAGUGUUGUUCGGAAUUACUGGGCGUAAAGGGCUCGUAGGCGGCCAACUAAGUCAGACGUGAAAUCCCUCGGCUUAACCGGGGAACUGCGUCUGAUACUGUAUGGCUUGAGUUUGGGAGAGGGAUGCGGAAUUCCAGGUGUAGCGGUGAAAUGCGUAGAUAUCUGGAGGAACACCGGUGGCGAAGGCGGCAUCCUGGGCCAACACUGACACUGAGGAGCGAAAGCCAGGGGAGCAAACGGG
rnacentral:rRNA from 1 species